rnacentral:rRNA from 1 species
AACGAACGCUGGCGGCAUGCCUAACACAUGCAAGUCGAACGGGACCUUCGGGUCUAGUGGCGCACGGGUGCGUAACGCGUGGGAACCUGCCCUUAGGUUCGGAAUAACUCCCCGAAAGGGGUGCUAAUACCGGAUAAUGUCUUCGGACCAAAGAUUUAUCGCCUUUGGAUGGGCCCGCGUUGGAUUAGCUAGUUGGUAGGGUAAAAGCCUACCAAGGCGACGAUCCAUAGCUGGUCUGAGAGGAUGAUCAGCCACACUGGGACUGAGACACGGCCCAGACUCCUACGGGAGGCAGCAGUGGGGAAUAGUGGACAAUGGGCGAAAGCCUGAUCCAGCAAUGCCGCGUGAGUGAUGAAGGCCUUAGGGUUGUAAAGCUCUUUUAACCGGGAUGAUAAUGACAGUACCGGGAGAAUAAGCGCCGGCUAACUCCGUG